GGAUAGCUCAGUUGGUGAGAGUGCUGAAAAUGCCAAGGUUGCAGGUUCGAUCCCCGUAAGAGACA